rnacentral:rRNA from 1 species
CCUACGGGAGGCAGCAGUGGGGAAUCUUGCGCAAUGGACGAAAGUCUGACGCAGCGACGCCGCGUGGGUGAUGAAGGCCUUCGGGUUGUAAAGCCCUGUGGGGAGAGACGAAUUAGUGCGGGCUAAUACUCCGCAUGAUGACGGUAUCUCCUUAGCAAGCACCGGCUAACUCUGUGCCAGCAGCCGCGGUAAU